rnacentral:snRNA from 1 species
AUCGCUUCUCGGCCUUUUGGCUAAGAUCAAGUGUAGAGUUUCUUUCUAAAAUAAAUAUGAUUUGAAUACUGUCCUUGGAGGAUCAUAUUUGAAACUAAUCCUCCUCCCCAAUAACUUAGGGGUGGUAACCAAA